GACGAACGCUGGCGGCGUGCUUAACACAUGCAAGUCGAGCGGUAAGGCCCUUCGGGGUACACGAGCGGCGAACGGGUGAGUAACACGUGAGUAAUCUGCCCAUCACUUCGGGAUAACUCCGGGAAACCGGUGCUAAUACCGAAUAUGACCACUUCAGGCAUCUGAUGGUGGUGGAAAGUUCCGGCGGUGAUGGAUGAGCUCGCGGCCUAUCAGCUUGUUGGUGGGGUAGUGGCCUACCAAGGCUUCGACGGGUAGCCGGCCUGAGAGGGUGACCGGCCACACUGGGACUGAGACACGGCCCAGACUCCUACGGGAGGCAGCAGUGGGGAAUAUUGGACAAUGGGCGAAAGCCUGAUCCAGCAACGCCGCGUGAGGGAUGACGGCCUUCGGGUUGUAAACCUCUUUCAGCAGGGACGAAGCGCGAGUGACGGUACCUGCAGAAGAAGCACCGGCCAACUACGUG
rnacentral:rRNA from 1 species